rnacentral:lncRNA from 1 species
UGUUUAUCCAACUAUGACGUACAAAUGUGAAAACUAUAACAUUUUUGUUAUCUUUAAACCUAAAUUGGAUUUUCGGCUAAAAACUACAGUAGAGCAGUUUAUGAAUGUCUACACAGACUUUUUUUUCUUUCCUGCUGAGACAGCAUUCAUUCUUUCAUUCAUUUUUAUCAAAAAACUUCAAUUGGAACACACAAGUAUUAGGCCAAUUCAGCAACUGUUUAGUCGACUUCUUUUAUCCAUUCAUGGGUAAAAGAUUACUUACAAUAAUUGCAAAACUAUAUCAAAUUAGACAAUUGCUCAUCUAAGAAAGUCCAACAAGAUGUUCUCACAAGCGUAACAAUCAUAACAUCAAUUUUAGAUUUAGCAUUAAAAUGAGAAAUAAACAGCCUACACAAGAAAGACUCAUUGUAGAAAAUAAAUUGGGGAGUGACUACAGUAUACACCUGAAGGGAUCGUAUACCGCGAAUGGAAGCGUAAUUUUUAAAUUUUUUCUUUUUCAAAUCUUAAAACCAUGUAAAUCGUACAACAUCGAUCAAGAGAUGGUCAGAUAUAACUUCAAUAUCACGAUGAAAUUCAAGACUCAAAAUCCAAGUUGCUAUAGCCUUGAUUUUUUAUUUUUCUUGCACCAAAAAGUUGUUGCCCUCACCAGAAUUGCUGCAGCCGCUGCCUGGGUGGCUGCUGCUUGCUGGUCCCUAACUAUUGCUGCUUGCCAAUGUGCCGGGUUACAUCUGCCUUGCUGCACCGCGACCUGUUAAUGCCUUGUUACUGCCGCACCCGCGGGUUGGUGAUGCCCCAUCCAUGGGCUGUUGCCUGCAGCAUGCUGCAACUUGCCGCGGCUGUCUGCAAAUUCUAUCAAUUUACUUUUUGCAAACCCUAGUCCUAAAUGUUUUAGGAUUUUAUUUUUCUCGUCUUCUAGACAUUUUGAUCUUAUCUCAUUUUUUUCUCAACUCUAACCAAUCUAUUUAGAGUGUGGGUUCUCAAAUUUUAUCUUAAAAAUUUUUGUAAAGAAUUUCUAUUUAGAUUGGUAACCCAUGUAUCAUAUAUAUAGGCUAGGUAUCGUACUAUGGCAAAGAUAGAGAUCUUAGGAAGUCCUAGUUUAGCUUCAACUAAACUACUAAAUAUUCUAGUUAUCUUUAACUUAAUUUAAUAAUUAAUUAAUCCGAAAUCAAUUCCACUAAAUAAGUUGGAUUGCACUCUAAAGCAAAAUGAUUAAAAUAUCCUUUAUCGUUAUUUGGAUUGCACUCUCCAUGGAUACUGAUAAUUAUGAUUGAAUUAAUUAACUGUCAUCAAAUCCUAAUUAUUUCUAUCCCAUAUGAUUCAUAAUUUAUUUUCCAUUUAGUCACCAAAAUAACAAGUUUUCAUUUCGAUAAAUAAUUUAUCAAAAAGACUGAAUCCAGAUUUCAAUGACCAAAUUAAUGUAUUAACUCACAAGUGAUACCCGCUCUCUCCUAAAAAAGAGUGAGAUUUCAUUUUGAUAAUUAAGUAUUCUCACAAACCUAACAAUGACCACAUAAGAUACCAAGGUAUUGACCUCGAAUUAGCCUCACUCAUUGGUAAAUAAAUUUGAACAAUGUCAAGAACUUAAUUUCACUAUUCUCUAAAGAUUAAUAGUCAAUUAUAAAUAGCGAAUUUAAGAUUUCUUCAAAAAGUGACAAUUUUAUAUGAUAUAUUUUUUUUAUUAUGAUUCAAUUCAUUUUAUUCUAUAAUACACCAAUACUUUACCUCAGAGUCACGUAUUCUGAUAGUUGAGAUAAACUAUCAUAUCAUAUAGAGAUUAACUGUAUUAUAGUUUUCGCAUAUGAAAUGUCCAAUCUCAUCACUAACUAUGAACUCAAUUAAAGUUAUUAGGAUCAACAAUUAAUAUCUCUCGUGUGUAAAUCUUAUUUUCAUACAUUUAUCGUCUAUCUAGAUAACUUGGAAAUAUAUCAUCUCAUGAUAUAAUAGAACAAUAUUAAAUGUAUGAUACAAUGAACUCUCAUUUCAAAUAAUAAUUAAAUAUUUAGAUAUAUGGGCACACAAUUCCCAACAACACCUUUAAAAAUGGUAUAUAUGGUGCGCCCCCAUUGUAGUAAUCAUUAUCAGAUGAAUAUGAUUCAUCCCAAAUGAUCUAAACACAACCUAGAAAAUAAAAGGAUUGUAUUAGCAAGUGAGCAUUCUAAUUGCCCCAAAAUGUUGGGUAAUUUAUACCAAAAGAAUUUGUAGAAUAUAUGCUAUAUAAAAUGUUUUUACUAUUUUUCAAAAAUAAUCACAUGGAAGAGUAAUAAGAAACAAUAAUGCUAUCAGUUAUUACACCUAAAAUUAUGCAAACAUAAUUGUGUGUGAAGUCCACACAUAUCACGUCGCAAAAUGUAAUAUUUAAAUUUAACUUUUUUUUAAUGACUCAUUAAUGACCCAUUUAGUAAUAUGAUUAUAAUCUAACCCAUUUAUUUGAAGUCAAAUCCGACCCGCCCAAUUAACCAAACCACCAACCAACAGCAGUCACCCGUCUAUCACCAUCGCGGUUUACCUCCAAAAUUCAUUAUCUUUGAACAAGACAAUUAUUAGGAUAAUAUCACAUUAAUUAUACAAACAUCAAGCUCUACUUUAUUCCAAUUGCAUAGCUGCAUUGCAAGACUUUUGGGGUGUACCUACUGAGCCUAUUCAGACUACAACAAUCCCAGAUCCAGAUAACUUCGACUAGUGAGGUGGGUGCCGGCAAGGCCCGCCUGUAUAAAGCUGUCCCACCAUAAGUACAUUGGAUUAUAAAAACUGUAUAAUAUAAAUCUUUUAAUUACAAUUGUUAAGUAUGGAAUUCAAAAGUUUGGUGCAGACGUGCAAGUGUUGUAAUGAAAGAACAAGGUUAAAAGCAACACUCGCUUUUUUUUUUAUAAAAAAAAAACUCCCUCAAUAGGAAAUAACAAUUCAUCAAACAAGCAUAAGCCAUAAAAUAUAAAUAUAGAAGUUGGUUGUUCUGCUGGAGGUUACCACGAAAUUAAAAUACCGUUGGAGGGAUAUUUGUUUAUGUUAGAAUUUUGGUAUGAAUGAAGUUGUGCAUUGGUAUGUCUCUCUUACUUACAGAGAUAACUACUUUUAAUGAUGAACUCUUCCCAUCAUAGUCCAAUUAGGAAAGGAAUCUGCAUUUUUAUAGUUUAAUAGGGACUCUGACUCUAGUCUUUCAUCUACUAUAAAAAGAGUCAAGUCUUUUAAUUAGAUAAUGUAAAGUUUAUACAGUUUUUAAAGUUCUGGUUAACAAUUUUGAAACCUCGGUGGUGUUCUAACGUACACGGUCUAGCCAUUUUAUUAUGGGAGAUAGACGCUGAAAAAGUCUACAACAUCCUCAGUAGGCGGCGAAUCUUUCUUAAGGAGACUGCGUUUGCAGUACUCGGCUCAUAAAUUUGUUUGUAUCUCAUUCCUAAUUUUAUGUUUUGUAAUUGUGAAUUCAGUUUUACUUUAUUUAAAAUUUUUAUCAAUGAAAAUUAUUCUUUACAAUUAUGUGCUUGUCAUAAUUUUUACCAACAAACUUAAGAAAUAUUUUUUUUAUGAUCGGUAAUUGAUUCCAUAAAAUAAUUUGUGUUCUGGAUUUAGAAAAUUAUUCUGAUUUUAGUUGAUAAUUGUUUUCAAAUUCAAUUUUCUGCAUCGAUUCAGAUUGUUAUAUAAAAAAACUCCAAAAAUAGAGAUACAAGGAGUGCCAAAGUGGGUUUUGCCGAGAGACAGGAACUAAAUUCAGUGACUGAGUGUUCCCAAUUUCUAACAUCAAAAGCUUCUUUUUCUCUGUGCUCUCUGUCUCUCUACAUUGUCUACCUUAACUUUCUCUUCGAUUCAAUUGAUUGGACAUUCAAGAUCAAAGAUAAACAAUUAGAUUUAACAGUUACAGAAAAAUAAUUUCAGUUUGAAAAAAAAACUACUUGUUUUCAGAUUUUCAAAAAUUAUUCAUAUUUUUUUCUACAAAUUGAUUUCAGAACUGCAACUAUUUCUAACUAAAACUUGUUUGUUUUAUAAUAAAAUUGUUUGAUUUCAGAAUACUGUGUAAUUUUUUUUAAAAAAACAACAACAUAAGUCUAGCAUAUCAGUUAUGUUAAGUUAAUUAGUCUAGAUAUUAAUAUAUUCUGUAUAUUUUUUCAGUUAUAUUUUCAAAAGUUGUAUUCUGUAUUAAAAAAAAAGAUGCAAAAAUUGUUUUGACACAAUACUGUUUUAAUAUUAAUUUCUGAAACUAAAAUUGAAAUCUUAAUUUUUUGUCAUUGUUGUUGCUGUUAUAGAAUUUUAAGACUGCUUUAAGAGUUCAAGACUGGAUUUUUUUUUAAAUUGCUUUAAAAAAAAAUUUAUUGUUUUUUUUCUAGAAACUAUCCAAUUUCUGAUUUUAAAAUUGUCCAGGUUUUUAGAAAUUGUAUUUGAAAAAGAAAAAAAAUUUGUUUUAAGCAGAGACUUUUGAUUAUAUUAUUUAAUAAUUAUUAUUUUAACCCAAAAUAUUUUGUAAUUACUGGAGUUUUAAUAAUUACAGAUUGACCUCAAUCUUUAAUAUAAUUAUAAAUUUUACCCACUUUCUAGAAAAACUACAGAAUUUUUCAUAUUUGGGUAAUUACAAAGUUUACCUGUAACACCCCGAAUCCGUAAAUUCCAUAAAUCGUAUGGAUUAUGAUGUGUACGUUAAUUAAAGCGAAGUGUUAGAGAUUUAAGAGUAAAGGAGACCAAACCUAAGUUAGAAUAAAUUCAAAAUUUUAAGAAUUUAAGUUUUGACCAGUUUUCCUCUUGGCGUUCGAACGCCCAUAUGGGAGUUUGAAUAAGGCCAAAAAUAUAAAUUUCAAGCCUCGCAUGUUUCAAACUGUAGGUAAGAGAGUUCGAACCCUCAGUGUCUAAAAAUCCUUCUUAGCGUCCGAACGCUUAAAGGGACGUUCGAACGCCAGCAGUUAAAAAUGAAAAAUAGAAAAGAAACACUAGGUUUAAAAUGGGGGAGUCACAUAGGAUAAUUUCCCAUGUAUCUCAGCAAUUAUAUAUACAUAUCACACUUCAUCCACCACGUACAC